GCCUGGGUGGCUCAGUGGGUUAAAGCCUCUGCCUUCAACUCAGGUCAUGAUCCCAGGAUCGUGGGAUUGAGCCCCGCAUCAGGCU
rnacentral:tRNA from 1 species